CUGCCGCCAUAGGCCUGUGCCUGAAGAUUGCCCAGGCUCCUGCCAUCUGCUUCUGUUUUUCCAGACAAAAUACACCGUUUCUGGGUUUCCCAUAAUAGGAUAGGCUCCCCACCCCCGCAGUCAUUCUGGCAGAUCUUUUUUCCUCUGGUUCCAACUCCGGAUCACUUCUCCUUACAAGCAUUUCCGAGAGCUCCUUCAUGCCCUGAGCAGAAAACCCUGCCAUUCAUGUGCCACUAUCCCCCAAAACCAGCUCAGAAAUACCAUGUGGCAUCCAGACACUUCCCCCCGAUCUCAUGGCAGUGGGGCUGCUAACUCCAAGAUUCCUAUAAGGACAGAUGUUCUGCAAAGAACCAAUGAUUCUGUGAUAGAUGAUCCACAGAGAACCAGGAUACCGAAACUGUAAGUCUCCAGAACAUGACAUGUCAUCAGAUGAGUAAAAGAAGAUCUCUUUGAUGUCAUAGUACUUGUUAAUGUGGCUUCUUAAUUUUCUCUCCAUUUCUCUUCUCAUCUAUCCCUUGAAGCUUCAC